CUACGUAGGUGGCGAGCGUUGUCCGGAUUUACUGGGUGUAAAGGGCGCGUAGGCGGUUAUGCAAGUCAGUCUUAAAAGUUCGAGGCUUAACCUCGUGAUGGGAUUGAAACUGUGUAACUGGAGUAUAGGUGAGGAAAGUGGGAUUCCUAGUGUAGCGGUGAAAUGGGUAGAUAUUAGGAGGAACACCAGUGGCGAAGGAGGCUUGCUGGACGACAACUGACGCUGAGGCGCGAAAGCGUGGGGAGCAAACAGGAUUAGAUUCCCUGGUAGUCCACGCCGUAAACGAUGAAUACUAGGUGUCGGGUUUCUAUAGAGAUUCGGUGCCGCAGCAAACGCAAUAAGUAUUCCACCUGGGGAGUACGUUCGCAAGAAUGAAACUCAAAUGAAUUGACGGGG
rnacentral:rRNA from 1 species